rnacentral:rRNA from 1 species
UAAUCCUACGGGAGGCAGCAGUAGGGAAUUUUCGGCAAUGGGGGGAACCCUGACGCAGCGACGCCGCGUGAGGGAUGAAGGUCUUCGGAUCGUAAACCUCUGUCAGCAGGGAAGAACGGUCACUGUGCUAAUCAGCAGUGAAUUGACGGUACCUGCAAAGGAAGCACCGGCUAACUCCGUGCCAGCAGCCGCGGUAAUACGGAGGGUGCGAGCGUUAAUCGGAAUUACUGGGCGUAAAGCGCUCGUAGGCGGUAUGUCAAGUCAAGGGUGAAAUCCCCGCGCUCAACGAGGGAACUGCCUUUGAA